GGCUGCCAGAGGGGCGGGCGGACAAAAGCGGCCGGUAGGUCGCUGCAUCUGUGUCUUAGCUGGCUGGGGGACUUCUAAUCAAGUUUGGUGGGGAAGGAGGGGUGUGUGGCGGCGGGGAAGUGUUCGUUUCCUCUUCCCACCUCUUGCCGUAGCACGGCCGAGUUCGGCUGGCGCGGCAGGAGCGCUGCCUGAAAGUCCCUCCGGGCGGGGGGCAGUGCCCGCCUUUCCUGCCUGCUCCUGGGGCCCCCUGUACCCCAAGAGCCUGGGCAUCGACUGCGUGUGCCCCCCUGUAGCCGGAGCGGGGAUGAGCGUGGCCGGGAAGCGCCGCUGCCCGCCGGAGCGGAGCGGAGCCUGCAUGGCUCCCGGCGCGUUAGUUUGUCUGUGUUGCUGGCGAGGGCCGCGCUCGCCGCCCCGCCUCGUGUUGCAGCGCCGCACGUCUCCCGUGCCGCUUUAUCUUCCGCUCGGCAGCCAUCGGGCCCCGCGCAGCGCGGCCGGGCAGGGCGGGGGCCGGCCGCCUUCCAGCGCGGUGCUUUGCCCGGGAGCCGGGAGAGCGCCCGCCUCGCCGGGUGCCGCGGAAGGGCGAGACGGGCUUCAGCGUGGAGCUGCCGGCGGGAGCGCCCCGGGCCGGGGCUGCGUGUGCCCCGAGAGACCCCGGCCCGCUCUGCAGCCCGGUGCAUCACGCUGCCCCGCGCUCUCGUUCGCCCUGAAAGCACGCGGGCUUGGGCAUGCCGGGCUGGUAGCGCCCAGAUCUCCCAAAGCGCGCAGAACCCCACGAGAGGGAAACUUGCUAAAAAGAAAGAAAGUAAAAAUAAGUGUGUUGCGUGACCGUGCCGGGUAGCGGAAGUAAAACAAGGAGGAGAGGAUAUAGCUGGGGAAACGAGAGCCGUCUCUUAGCCCUGCAGAGAAAGCUGCGAGCUUGUUUUUUUGUUAGCGUGCCGCCCGGCCCCCGCGGUGCGAUGCGCGGCCGGAGGGAGGGCUGUGCUGCGUGGCUCCACAGCCUGGCACUGCUGCAUCGGCCGAUUGCAGCAUUUCAGCGAGCUCGGGGCCCAGCCGGUGGCGGGGAGCUGCAGCGCAGCUCGCUCUCCAUUUACAAGAAGCCAGUGGAAAAGCUUCCUCAACCCAGUUAAUGUGGCUGCAAGACAUCUGUACAUUUGUGACUUCCACAAAAAUCUAAU